rnacentral:lncRNA from 1 species
GAGGAGGUAUCGGGAGGAGGCUGCUCAGAGGAGGCUGCUCAGCAGGGCCGGGAGGCUGCCGUGGAGACAGUGAUAGUUGUGUCAGCUCGCAACUGUGCUCAGAAACACCGACUCAGCACUCGCUUCCCAGCGCAAAGCUCUGCAGGGCCCGGAGGCUCGGGGGCAAGGAGGGAAAGGGAGCGGGGAGGCUUCUGGAGGACAAAAGAAAGAAGACACGCAGAGAGACGUGGAGGGAUAGAGGCUGAAAGAGAGAGGAGGUGAGAGGGACAGACAGAGACCUGGAGGGAGAGAUUGGCAGAGAAUGAAACAAAGACCGAGAUGCAGAGAAUCCAGAGUCUGGAGAGGCCGAGCGCCAGGAGAGAGCACGUGGGAGCUUAGGCAGUGUGGGAGACAGAAGGGAGAUGCAGGCCAGGGCCCUGUGCCCUGAUGGAGCGACCCUCCUCGGGGAAGAUUCUUCUUUCAAGGCCUGGGUGAAGACCUCUGCCUCCAGGAAGCCUCCUGUGGCCAGCCAAGCCAUAACUCUUAGACCUCUGGGGAGGUGGUCCCCAUUUGCUGCCAACUCCAGCGCCAGGCUGAUGGCUGCCAGGAGCAAGAUGACAGAAGGACGGGAGAGGCUGCAUCCAGGGAGGCAUGGAACCACCCAGAGGACCGGGCCAUGCGCUGCUCUGGCCUCCUCUGCCCCUGGGGGACCCUCCACUGCUCAGGCCUGGGGGAGCAGCCAGGUAAGGGUGGUCUCUGGCUGGGCGGAGGGUUUGUCAAUGUGUGGGUGCUGGGGUAGCCUGGGUGGCUGGAGUGGGAGAGAAAGGAACUCAGCAUCAGGUUUCUCCUUUCAGCAGAGAUGCUGGACGUCCUGGGUUAGGAGAUCAGGCCUGUCACACGUCACCCUCCACCCUCACCAACAAAACACAUAUACAAAUGGAAAGAGACAGAGAGAGGCUGAGUUAGCUGCUCUCUUGAUCUGUGCUUACCUUUGUGUCUUACUCUUCCUUCUUUGCGUGAUGACUUUUCCCUCCUUCAUUUAAUAACCAUGCACUGGCCCUGCUGGCCGCUCUGUUCUGGGUGCCGGGCAGAGCAAGGUGGGGGAGAUGCCCUUUAGGGAUAUAGACAAGUAGUGAGUGAUGAUACCACAUUUCUCUCCCCUUCACUCUGUCCCUUUGUCUCGCUAGCCCCCCCAAUCCCCAUCUUUUUCUUUUCUUUUCUUUUAUUUCCGCCUUUUCUAGGGCUGCCCCGUGGCACAUGGAGGUUCCCAGGCUAGGGGUCUAAUCAGAGCUGUAGCCGCUGGCCUACACCACAGCCACAGCAACGCGGGAUCUGAGUUGUGUCUGCAACCUACACCACAGCUCACGGCAAUGCUGGAUCCUUAACCCACUGAGCAAGGCCGGGGAUCGAACCUGCAACCUCAUGGUUCCUAGUCAGAUUCGUUAACCACUGCGCCACGACGGGAACUUCAAUCCCCACCUUUUUCUGUCUCUGUCUCUCAAACCAGAGAAGCAAGGCUUUCUUUUCCAAUGAGAGGCAGAACUGCUUACUGGAGGUAGUGGCCUUGAACUCAUCUUAAAUUGCUCACUGUGACUCUCCCCUGGGCCAGCUUCCUAGGGGCAGGGUGGUCUCAGUCCAGGUCCCCAGGCCCUUGAAGAUGAAAAGAAGUCCCUGGUUCAGCCUUUUUUGGAGACAAGGAAAACCGAGGCAUGGAGAGAGGAUGGCGUCCUGCCUGGAGGAGGUGGCGACGAGAAUUCGGGUCAAACUGCCAAGAGCUUAGGCCUGGCGCAUAUCCUGCCCUAACCUGUAUCUCAGGCCUAACCCCCUAGGCCUCAAGAGCCUAUCACAUCUCUUUCUGAGGUGAACUAGGAGGUGCUGAGACUUGGCUUUUGGCAGACUCUUCCCACCUUAGCCCUUGUCCACUGCCAAGGUCAGUAUGUUGCCACUGUUUGUGCAAAGUUGCUUCAAGUCACAGGCUCUGGCAGGGACAAUAGGCUCCCUCGGCCCAUGGCUGCUGUGUGUUGGGGGGCAAGUGGGAACCUAGGAAGUUUCACAUGGAGCUUUCAAGUGGAUCUAAACUGGGACUCCGAAUUGCAUUGCACCUGCUGGGUGGUGGGCCCAGGAGCAGCCCCAGGCACUAUUUGCAUGAGUUGAUAUGCAGGGUAGAUGCAUAUGUGAAGAAGAAGCUCCAUGCAUGGCUGUGGUGGACAGAGAUGGGGUGAGGGGACUGGCGGAGCUGGGAACCCAGGGGUGGGGGUGGGGGGCCAGGAUGCAGCCCCUGCUGCCUGCCAUGUACCUUUCUCUCUGUUCCUUCACCUCCGGGCUUUGCAUAUGCUGCUCCUGCACGUCUCCACCCCCACAUCACCCCGGGUCCCCCACCUAUCUCAUGCCACACUGCCCAGCAAGGACAGGUCCCUGUUCAGCCCCCCUCUCACCGUGUAUCAAUUGAUGUUUGCAGUGAUGUGGUGGGGCAGGCUCCCUUUGGGGAUGUUGGUCCUGGAGGGCAGGGUUUGGCAGGAGGAGAUGAGGUGAGGGAAGGGCGGUGAGCUCCCUGAAGGGACUUUGGGGACAUGGAGCUCCCAAGAGGGGCUGCUUCGGGUUUCUGGUGACCCAGCAUGGGCCAGACAUGGGGACAGAAGCUUCCCCAGUCCACUUCCGUCCAGAACACAGAGGGUCUCUGUGAUGCUAAGAACCAGCCAGGUGGCCCCAGGAAGGGGUCAGAUCUGUCACCCCAGCUCCCUUCUCAUGGGGCCACAUGUGUGGCUGGCGCAUGGGCACAUGGGAGAGGCUUCUUUCUUCCCAGGCUCCCGAGCUCUGCCUGGGAUGGGGUGCAGGCUGCAGGUGGAGAUGGCGAGCUGGUGGAUCUGGAGGCUGACACUGCUGUGACCUCCUUCACACUGCAGGCUGGCCAGGCUGGUGGACAUUUAUAUUGAUUUGUGUCACACACGAUGACUUCAUCUUCUGAAACAAAACUCAGAAAUGUAUGUAGAAUAUUUCAAAUCCAGGCCAUCUUGAUUUUCUAUAAUAUCUGCUCCCAGUGUGAGAAUGUGUGUGUGCACACGUGUGUGUGUGUGCACGUGCACACAGAGCUCCUAGAUUUUAUUAGAUAGUGAAUGAGUUUCUGGGGCUGUGGGCUGACCUGUGGUUUAUCCAAAAGUUGGGGGUGAAGGCUGACCAUGGAGGGCAAUUAGCUCAUGAUCUCUGAGAGGGCAAAGGUCUCUCCUUAUGAUAAUAGCUCCUGCUUAUUGGACACUCCACAGGCCUCUGUGGGAAGUGUUCUAUGUAUAUUGCUUCUGAAUCUUACGACAACCUUGUGGGGUAGUUUUAAUGUCCCAUUUUAUUUAUUUUUAUUUAUUUAUUUUGUUUUAGGACCACAGGGGCGGCAUAGGGAGGUUGCCAGGCAAGGGGUCAAAUCAGAUCUACAGCUGCCGACCUACACCACAGCCACAGCAAUGUAGGAUCUGAGCUGCAUCUGCGACCUACACCACAGCUCAUGGCAGGCAAUGCUGAUCCUUAACCCACUGAGUGAGACCAGGGACUGAACCCAUGUCCUCAAGGAUACUAGUCAUUUUAGUAACCUGCUGAGCCUCAACAGAAACUCCACUUUUUUUUUUUUUUUUUUUUACUAUCCCACUUUAUAGAUGCAGGAACAGGACCAGGGUGCUGAAUUCAUCCAUUCGUUCAUGUACGCAUGCUCAUCAGAACAUUGCCGGCAGGCCCACUAUCUGCUCACCCCACCAGGAAGCGAGGGGGCUGGCCUAAGCCUCAGCCCAGAUGGGAUUAGACCUGGUCGUCUGUUCUAGUUUUCCCCACACCACUCCUGCUCAGAAGGAGGUGCCUCAAAGGUGCUUGAUAAAAGCCUGAGGAUGGGCUGAGUUCACAAACCAGGGAGAUGACUGAGCAGGGAGAUGGGGCUCUAGGGUGCUGGACUGGCCAGGGCUCAGAGGCAGGGCACUUGGGGCUGCCCCGGGGAGGCUUGGAAUCUGACCCUAAUCUGGUCCCAGCCCUGAGCCACCCUCACACACUUCACUUCCAUAAAUCCUGCCUGAAAAAUGGAAUCUCCUGUAUCUGUAUCUUUCUGCCUCUCCUGAGGCCUCAUUGUCCCCAGCCCUGUUGGCGGCAGCCCAGCCCCCUCAGUCCCUGCCUUGGAUACAGCACGACUGAGAUUCUUGAGACCUGUUUGUCGUCUUGUGUUAUAUCAACACGGCAGAAACAGUGGCAGCAAGGCUGAUAAAAUAAUAAAGCUGCUUAUUUGUGUCA